rnacentral:rRNA from 1 species
UACGAAGGGGGCUAGCGUUGCUCGGAAUUACUGGGCGUAAAGGGCGCGUAGGCGGCCUUCUAAGUCGAACGUGAAAUCCCCGGGCUCAACCCGGGAACUGCGUCCGAUACUGGGAGGCUUGAAUCCGGGAGAGGGAUGUGGAAUUCCAGGUGUAGCGGUGAAAUGCGUAGAUAUCUGGAGGAACACCGGUGGCGAAGGCGGCAUCCUGGACCGGUAUUGACGCUGAGGCGACGAAAGCCAGGGGAGCAAAGCGGG